rnacentral:misc_RNA from 1 species
CUUCCGUAGGUGAACCUGCGGAAGGAUCAUUCAUAAUAAGUGUUUUAUGGCACUUUUUUAAAUCCAUAUCCACCUUGUGCAAUGUCAGGGUUGAUUUUUCUCUCGAGAGGAUCAGCCCCAAACAUCAACUAUAUCUCAACUCUUUGUCUGAAAAAUAUUAUGAAUAAAACAAUUCAAAAUACAACUUUCAACAACGGAUCUCUUGGCUCUC